AUUGAACGCUGGCGGCAGGCCUAACACAUGCAAGUCGAGCGGAUGAAGGGAGCUUGCUCCUGGAUUCAGCGGCGGACGGGUGAGUAAUGCCUAGGAAUCUGCCUGGUAGUGGGGGAUAACGUCCGGAAACGGGCGCUAAUACCGCAUACGUCCGGAGGGAGAAAGUGGGGGAUCUUCGGACCUCACGCUAUCAGAUGAGCCUAGGUCGGAUUAGCUAGUUGGUGGGGUAAAGGCCUACCAAGGCGACGAUCCGUAACUGGUCUGAGAGGAUGAUCAGUCACACUGGAACUGAGACACGGUCCAGACUCCUACGGGAGGCAGCAGUGUGGAAUAUUGGACAAUGGGCGAAAGCCUGAUCCAGCCAUGCCGCGUGUUUGAAGAAGGUCUUCGGAUUGUAAAGCACUUUAAGUUGGGAGGAAGGGCAGUAAGUUAAUACCUUGCUGUUUUGACGUUACCAACAGAAUAAGCACCGGCUAACUUCGUG
rnacentral:rRNA from 1 species